UCGAGAAUUUUUCACAAUGGGCGAAAGCCUGAUGGAGCGACGCCGCGUGGGGGAUGAAUGGCUUCGGCCCGUAAACCCCUGUCAUUUGCGAUCAACCCUCAUUAUUUAAAAGAUGGUGAGCUGAUAGUAGCGAAAGAGGAAGGGACGGCUAACUCUGUGCCAGCAGCCGCGGUAAUACAGAGGUCCCGAGCGUUGUUCGGAUUCACUGGGCGUAAAGGGUGCGUAGGUGGUGAGGUAAGUCGGAUGUGAAAUCUCGGAGCUCAACUCCGAAACUGCAUUGGAAACUACCUUGCUCGAGGGUUGGAGGGGGGACUGGAAUUCUCGGUGUAGCAGUGAAAUGCGUAGAUAUCGAGAGGAACACCAGUGGCGAAGGCGAGUCCCUGGACAACACCUGACACUGAGGCACGAAAGCUAGGGGAGCAAACA
rnacentral:rRNA from 1 species